rnacentral:rRNA from 1 species
UACGUAGGGGGCAAGCGUUGUCCGGAUUUAUUGGGCGUAAAGCGCUCGCAGGUGGUUCGUCGCGUCGUGCGUGAAAGACCCCGGCUCAACUGGGGAGGGUCGUGCGAUACGGGCGGACUGGAGGCCAGUAGGGGGAUGCGGAAUUCCGGGUGUAGUGGUGGAAUGCGUAGAGAUCCGGAGGAACACCAGCGGCGAAGGCGGCAUCCUGGACUGGGCCUGACACUCAUGAGCGAAAGCGUGGGGAGCGAUCCGG